rnacentral:misc_RNA from 1 species
AAAGUCGUAACAAGGUCUCCGUUGGUGAACCAGCGGAGGGAUCAUUACCGAGUUGCAAAACUCCCAAACCCCCAAGUUUACGUAUCCUAAAGAAAGCGUUUUACUUCGGCGGGCGACCCUAGGGUAGGGCCGCAGCCUGCGCUUCGGUGCGGGCGCCCGCCGGAGAAAAACCUAAACUCGUACUGUUUUGGUGAAACUCUGAGCCUUAAAGACAAAUAGUCAAAACUUUCAACAACGGAUCUCUUGGUUCUG